GGCUGUUCUGGAACUCCUGACUGUGAUCUAUAGUUUAAACAAAGACGGCAACAGCCCUUUCCCAAAGCAGACCUCCUUCUUGCCUGGGGACUAGAUUGCCUUUGCAAGACUAACAUUAGUCACAGGAUUAGAAAUUAUGGUUUAGGAGUCUUGCAGCUGGAGGCUACAAGAUUCUGACCCUCCCUAAACUGCUCCUGAGAUCAGUGCUUGAGAUAUUUUGCAGACCCUGCACUUGAUGGAUCAGCUGGCACCACCCAGACUGAUAAACUGGCUCCUCUGAUCUUGUGGCCCCUACGCAGGAACUGACUCAGUGCAGGAACACAGAUUCGUCUCCCUGUGAUUUCAUCCCUGACCAAUCAGCACUCCUGGCUCACUGGCUUCCCUCCACCUACCAAGUUAUCCUUAAAAAUUCUGGUCGCUGAAUGCUCAGGGAGACUGAUUUGAGUAAUAAUAAAACUCCGAUCUCCCGCACAGCCAGCUCUGCGUGAAUUACUCUUUCUCUAUUGCAAUUCCCCUAUCUUGAUGAAUCGGCUCUGUCUAGGCAGCGGGCAACGUGAACCCCUUGGGCAGUUAUAUUUAGAGUGUUCUCUGUCUUCAGCAUUGUUUUUAGUUUGCAUCACCCAACCCUGAGUGGGGAGGGAAGUGGUGCUAGGUCUUCUCAGUGUCUCGGGUGGGUGUGGGGGCUUCCACGGAGGCUGAGAUCUAAUUUUAUUUUCCCAAACACUUAACUAUUGGAGAAAAAAAAUCCCUUUAUUGGCAUAUAAAUCCUUUCUGACUUCAAGUGUUUAGCAGCUACUCUCAUUUGUUUACUGAGUUUGUGAUGAGAGAAAAGAGGGCUUGCAGCCCCAAAGAAAGGCGGGAGGGACCCAGUAGAGCUGGGGGCUGCCCGCCCCCUGGCCUUCGCAUAAAGAGCGCCUUAGCAGGUCUACUGAGAACGGGCCAGCUGUUAGCCAGCUGGUCACUCAGGAGGAAGCCCGGGGAAGAGAGAAGUGAGAACGUUUCAGCCAAGUAACUAAGUGCACAGCCACCCUGACCGUGGCCGGAAAACCGCGAAUGGAAAAAGAAAAACUGCCCCGAGAAACUCUGAGAACUUGCACGACCUCUCUCCUGUGCUAGCCCGAGGUCCGGAGUCUUACAAAGGGCUUAGUUGAGAGUGCACGAUUUGUGAGUCCUCUUCAACUUGGUGUUUAAGGAGAGCGGGGGUGAGCUCAGUGAAUGCGGUUUAGCAGGAGAGCAUUUGAAUCCCACAGAGGAGCCAGCCUAUGCCCUAGUUCUAAGGCGCCUCUGGUCCUGUGUGACCGCGCCCGGGAGGCAACAGCUCUGAGCUCAGUUUCCUCCUCAGCAAAAUGUAGCCAAUGACGGCGUUGUGAAGCGUGAAUGAGAUCAGGUCUAUGAACGUCACUUUGUAAACCCUUAAAGCACCAUUUCAAUCUUUCAUUAAAUAUUAACUGAAAGGAGCACUCACAUAGAAAUGUCAGUGUCUACCCCCAACUAACUUUCCCCUCUUUUCUCACUUCUUCUUUUUCACAGAACCAGGCUACACAUCUUGUCAUUAAAUUUAAUCAAUAAACAUCUAGUGAGUUCUACUCAAGACACUGAGCUAAUUGGUUUAUGUUCAGCACCGUCAAGAACCUUACCAUCUAGUUGGGAAAAACCACACAAAACACAUUCGAAGUUUUUAAUGGCACUCAUGUCAAAUUAUGAAAGAAGAAUGGAAGAGGUCUCUCCUUAGCAAAUGAUUAAUUACUGCGUUAGUCUGCUAGGAGUGCCGUAAUAAAGUAGCACAGACGGGGUGGUUUAAACAUCAGAUAUUAAUUUUCUCACAGUUCUGGAGGCCAGAAGUCUCAGCUGAACGUGUUAGCAGGAUUGGUUUCUCCUGACACUUCCGUCCUUGGCUUGUAGACGGCCAUCUUUUCUCUGUCUUCACAGGGUCUUUCCUCUGUGUGCCCCAGUAGCUCCCCCUGUAUCCAAAUUUCCUCUCCUUAUAAGGACAUCACUUAUAUGGGAUUAGUGCUCACCUCAUUACCCCAUUUUAACUUAAUUACCUCUCUAAAGACCCUAUCUCCAAAUACAGUCACAUUCUGAGGUCCUGAGGGUCAGGAUUUCAACAUAUGAAUGUUUGGGGAGACAGAAUUCAGCGCAUAAUCGUUACCAAACCAGAGGUUUAGAUGCUGUCAGGGGAGUUUUCUUACAGAAAGAGCCAAACAUGCAAUCCUUCUUGGGUGCUUUUGAUGACAGGCUGACUAUAAGUUAGAGCUAUUUGUACUAGUGCUACAAAUUUGGCUAUCUUCUAGUUAAAUAAAUUCAAUAAAUCCUGGUUUAUUUUUACGUCUACAGGAUAUUGUAUUAAAUAUUCAAAUUGAAUAAAAAUAUUUAAAUCAUCAUUUGAAUAAACUACUUCUCUUGUGAAAAACAAUACAUUUAUUGCAACUUAAUUAUUUUUAUCUUUUCCCUCUCUCCCUCCCUUAUUCCUUUGGAAUGAGGAG
rnacentral:lncRNA from 10 species